UACGAAGGGGGCUAGCGUUGUUCGGAUUUACUGGGCGUAAAGCGCAUGUAGGCGGGUCGUUAAGUUGGGGGUGAAAUCCCGAGGCUCAACCUCGGAACUGCCUUCAAAACUGGCGACCUGGAGCGUGAUAGAGGCGAGUGGAAUUCCGAGUGUAGAGGUGAAAUUCGUAGAUAUUCGGAGGAACACCAGUAGCGAAGGCGACUCGCUGGAUCAUUGCUGACGCUGAGAUGCGAAAGCGUGGGGAGCAAACAGG
rnacentral:rRNA from 1 species